rnacentral:rRNA from 1 species
UAAGGAAUAUUCCACAAUGGGGGAAACCCUGAUGGAGCAACGCCGCGUGCAGGAUGAAUGCCCUCGGGUCGUAAACUGCUUUUAUGGGUGAAUAAUAUGAAUGUAACCCUUGAAUAAGCACCGGCUAACUACGUGCCAGCAGCCGCGGUCAUACGUAGGGUGCACGCAUUAUCCGGAGUGACUGGGCGUAAAGAGUUGCGGAGGUGGGUUGUCUAGUGAAUAGUGAAAUCUGGUGGCUCAACCACACAGACUAUUAUUCAAACUGGCAGACUAGAGAGUAGCAGAGGUAACUGGAAUUUCUAGUGUAGGAGUGAAAUCCGUAGAUAUUAGAAGGAACACCGAUGGCAUAGGCAGGUUACUGGGCUAUUUCUGACACUGAGGCACGAAAGCGUGGGGAGCGAACC